rnacentral:rRNA from 1 species
UACGUAGGGUGCGAGCGUUAAUCGGAAUUACUGGGCGUAAAGCGUGCGCAGGCGGUUCGUUGUGUCCGAUGUGAAAGCCCCGGGCUUAACCUGGGAAUGGCAUUGGAAACUGGCGAGCUUGAGUGCGGCAGAGGGGGGUGGAAUUCCGCGUGUAGCAGUGAAAUGCGUAGAUAUGCGGAGGAACACCGAUGGCGAAGGCAAUCCCCUGGGCCUGCACUGACGCUCAUGCACGAAAGCGUGGGGAGCAAACAGG